GUCCCAGACUCUCGACUUCCUGGCUUAGCCUCCUCUAAGAUUUUUCGUGCUCUUGCCACUGCGUUUAUCCCUGCUAAAAUUUACGAAAACUUACCCUGAGACAUUUUGGAGUUUUUAAAGUUUUUAUUUCUUCUUUGGAAAUCCUUUGCACUAUUGGAGUUGAAGUGAUGAAUACACACUUCUUGACUUUGAUUUUGGAAAUUUUGUGUAUGAGUACUUCAUUCGGAGCAACCUAAUAAUAGUUGAGAGAUUUACAUCACAAAGAAAAUGGCUCCUCGUAUUAAGACGACAACAUUCCAAUGCUUGAAAUGUUUUAGGAGAUUCUUAAAUCGUCAGCAUUUUGCGUCACAUUUACUAAGGCACCGAGAUGAAAACAAGAGAAAAUUGUGUCAAUAUUGUACAUGUCAUUCAG